GCCAGGAGUGGUGGUGCACACCUGUAAUCCCAGUGGCUUGGGAGGCUGAGGCAGGAGGCUGGAGAGUUGAAAGCCAGCUUCAGCAAUGGCAAGGUGCAAAGAAAUUCAGUGAGACCCUGUCUCUA
rnacentral:sRNA from 1 species